UCAGAGAAGAGAUUUAUCUUUCCGAUGGAAAUAAUCAGGCCCUAGAUUUCCCAAAGUGAUGACACCUCAUUCACCUCUCCCCACCCUACUCAUAUUCAUGUUCCCUUGCACGGUUCUUAGAAAUUGUAUUUUCAAUUGCCGUCAUGCGGAAAAUUCUCUUGUGAAAUAUCUCUUCCCUCAGACAGAUUGGAUGGUAACCAAACUUCAAAUCCAGCUUAAAAAACCGUAG
rnacentral:lncRNA from 1 species